UGGGGAAUUUUGGACAAUGGGCGAAAGCCUGAUCCAGCAAUGCCGCGUGUGUGAAGAAGGCCUUCGGGUUGUAAAGCACUUUUGUCCGGAAAGAAAUCCUUGGCUCUAAUACAGUCGGGGGAUGACGGUACCGGAAGAAUAAGCACCGGCUAACUACGUGCCAGCAGCCGCGGUAAUACGUAGGGUGCAAGCGUUAAUCGGAAUUACUGGGCGUAAAGCGUGCGCAGGCGGUUUGCUAAGACCGAUGUGAAAUCCCCGGGCUCAACCUGGGAACUGCAUUGGUGACUGGCAGGCUAGAGUAUGGCAGAGGGGGGUAGAAUUCCACGUGUAGCAGUGAAAUGCGUAGAGAUGUGGAGGAAUACCGAUGGCGAAGGCAGCCCCCUGGGCCAAUACUGACGCUCAUGCACGAAAGCGUGGGGAGCAAACAGGAUUNGAUACCCUGGUAGUCACGCCCUAAACGAUGUCAACU
rnacentral:rRNA from 1 species